UUGUAUUUGAUUGUUUUAGGAAAAAAGACCACAAUUUUAUCUGAUUGUUUUUUUUGGGGGAGGCAGAAAUUUUUAAAAAAAGGAUUAAUUGUUUUUUAAUAAAUAAAAAGAUGAAAAAAAACAACCACCAAAAACAAAAAACAGAAGAAGAGCAUGUGCCGACAAAAAAAUGACAAAACAACAACAAAAAAGAGAUACGUGUCACUGGAGGCAUCAACUGCUAAGCUAAAUGGCUAACAAAUGAAAAUUUAGGUUCCAUUUGAUCAUAAAAAUUAGUAUUUUUUUCCGGAGUUAAGAGUUGAAGAUUAAGUUAGAGUAGGAGUUGUGUUUGAUCAUGAAUAUAAAUUAAAGUUAUUUUUGAAAUUCUAUGAGAGAAGUAUAAGUGAAAAAAAUAAUAAAAAUCAUGGCCAAACUGUGCAUAAUAAUUUGAUUUUUUCAGUAAAAUAAAAUAAUUUUUCGAAAAAAGAAAAAAAACGGCUACUUAAAUUCAUUGGCCAUUUGAUAUUUUAUUUUUAUUUUUGUUGUCCUUGUCCCUAAACCCAAUAGUAUUUCGGAGAGAGUGGGGGCCUUUGGCCUUACUGUGCUGUUAUAUUGACCACAUGCUACUUUAUUCAUUCAUUCACAAAAAGAAUGAGCCAAAAACUAAGAUGGAUGGGAGAAGGAUGCAUCCAAAAUUGAUGAUUCAUGUUGUGUUUGGUGAUAAUGAUUUUUUGAGCAGGAACCACUUCCCUCCUAGUUUCGUUUUCGGCUCUGCUUAUCAAGUCAGUAGUCCACUAAUGAAGGGAUAGUAAGUUUAGGCCAGUUGCCAAUUCAGUGCGCCACCAAAGCUAAUGUCUGUCUAUCUAAGACCAGUAACAUGCACAAGCCAACUAAACAGAGGAACAAAAAUAAACAAGUACAAGCAUUAAUUUGUCAAUUCAAAUGUGUAACAUGACCAUGGUUAGGUGGAAGUUUUUGCUUUCCAUAGGUCAUAGGCGGAAAACUGAUUCUUUGAAUCCCACAAGAUUCAGGGUCGAACUUUCUGGAAUUCAGACUAGAGCAACAAGUCGUAUUUAUAAUUUCCAGGUGCAUACAAUGGAGCUAGCUAACGGAGAUGUAGCUUGCGAUGCAUACCACAAAUAAAAGGAAGAUGUACAAUCGCACUCUGGGAGUGCAAGUGACAAUUGGCUGAUGGAAUCCAUGUUAUGAUUUUCUUUAUCUCAAACUGCAGGAAUUCAACCAUGAUGAUCUACCACAAGCACUUGAAGACGAAUAUGGUGGAUGGCUAAGUCAAAACAUAAUGUAUACUGGAUACUUUCCACCUGUAAUUCUUGGUAAAUGAGGACGUAUAUUCUAGCCUGAACUUGCAUAUUUGGGUAGUUAAUCUGCUCACUCUAGCGAUUGAUCAGCAUGUCCCUUUUUCUCACAUGCUGUGUGCUCGAUCGACUAAUUGACAAUUACUGUUAUAUUACUAUGUGUUUAUUUGUUACUAGGAAUGGAUCAAAUGUCAAGAGGCUACUUCUCAUGGUGUCUUUCUUGGAUGGUUUGGAGUUGAUGAAUCAGGGUUUGGCCUAUACUAUGUGGAUUUGGGUGACAAAAAUUUAACGAGGCAUCCAAAGCUUUCUCAACGUUGGUACUCCAAUUUCUUGAAGGGAAUAUAGUAACGUACAAUAUCCCGGAAGUCUUGAGGCGUCUUGAGUGUUGUUGAUACCUGAAAGAGAAGAGUUAAAAUUGCCAUGUAAUAAGUGUUCAGUCGAUUUGGGAACCUGUAGGUAUUAUUGGGGUAAGUAUCUAGACUUCCAUUUUGGCGAACAGCA